UCGGGUGACAGGGAGACAGGUGGUGCAUGGUUGUCGUCAGCUCGUGUCGUGAGAUGUUGGGUUAAGUCCCGCAACGAGCGCAACCCCUACGUUUAGUUGCUAACGCGUGAAGGCGAGCACUCUAGACGAACUGCCGUUGACAAAACGGAGGAAGGUGGGAUGACGUCAAAUCAUCAUGCCCUUAUGUUCUGGGCUACACACGUGCUACAAUGGCCGGUACAGACGGACGCAAAGCCGCGAGGUGGAGCAAAUCCUAAAAAGCCGGUCUCAGUUCGGAUUGCAGGCUGCAAUUCGCCUGCAUGAAGUCGGAAUCGCUAGUAAUCGCAGGUCAGCAUACUGCGGUGAAUACGUUCCCGGGGCUU
rnacentral:rRNA from 1 species